rnacentral:rRNA from 1 species
GACGAACCGUGCGAACGUUAUUCGGAAUCACUGGGCUUAAAGCGCGUGUAGGCGGGCCGGCACGUCGGUCGCUGAAAUCCCCCGGCUCAACCGGGGAAGGGGCGCCGAUACGACCGGCCUGGAGGGGCGUAGGGGGACCUGGAACUUCCGGUGGAGCGGUGAAAUGCGUUGAGAUCGGAAGGAACGCCCGUGGCGAAAGCGAGGUCCUGGACGCCUACUGACGCUGAGACGCGAAAGCCAGGGGAGCGAACGGG